GCUUUCGUGGUGUAAUGGUAAGCACAAUCGACGGCUAUUCGAGAGGUCCAAGGUUCGAGUCUCGGCUAAGGCA
rnacentral:tRNA from 1 species